rnacentral:lncRNA from 1 species
CAAAAAUCCAGACUCAGGGCCCUGGCAGUGGGGGCUUGAAUUCCAGCAACCUGGCCCUGCAGAGUUGUGACCUCAGCUGUCCCUCAGUACCCACGGAGGACUGGUUCUGUGACCUUCAAGGAAAUCAGACUCUGAGAUGCUGCAGUCCCAUGUAUAGAGUGGAGCAGCAUUUGUGUGUAACUGAUGUUCAUCCCCCCAGAAGUCCUCCCUAGAGGAUGGACACACCUACCAUGAUGGAAUCACUACGGAAGAAGUUGUCAUCUGCAUUGCUUAGGGAGUGAUGAUGCCCUGCUGAGGCUGCUUCAGUGUCCUGAGGUGAAACAAAACGUUUAUCUUUCAUGAUCCUUUUGACUUCGGGGAAGAGCCAGAAGUUGCACAGUGCCAGUAGACCAGGUCACACUGUCAUAUUUUAUGAGCUCGCCUUUCUGUUGGGCGACACUGGGCAGCAACAUUUGCUGUAUUUUUGGACACACCUCAUAAAGACAUUCAUGAAAGAGGACUUCCAGAACCACUCUAGAAAAGUGGCAA